CAGUUAUAGUUUGUUUGAUGG
rnacentral:siRNA from 1 species